rnacentral:sRNA from 1 species
UACAUUUGUCGUCUAACUCAAUGGUGCUCUGAUGGCUAAAUUCCCUGAAAGGGGGUGACGCCAGUGUCAACGUUUCAAGCACUUACUUUAAUGUUUGCGUUCGGUAUGUUUAUCCUUACUUUGUUGAGAUUUUUGAUGGAUUAUUUAAAGGAUAUAAAAGAUCUUUCAAAGAAAUAGACCACCCUUUGAGGCCUGAGAAACUUCUAGGGUAGGUCCAUAUCUAAAAUACACCUAUAGCCAGCGCUCCAAUGAGGAGCCAGCAUUUGUACAGACCGGAGUGUUAGCGCACUCCGG